UACAGAGGCCUCAAGCGUUACCCGGAAUUACUGGGCGUAAAGGGUGUGUAGGUGGUCAUGUUAGUCGUCUGUUAAAACCCUCGGCUCAACCGAGGACUUGCAGACGAAACGGCAUAACUUGAGGGUGUGAGAGGUGCACGGAACUCAUGGUGUAGGGGUGAAAUCCGUUGAUAUCAUGGGGAACACCGAAGGCGAAGGCAGUGCACUGGCGCAUUCCUGACACUGAGACACGAAAGCGUGGGUAGCGAACGGG
rnacentral:misc_RNA from 1 species